rnacentral:rRNA from 1 species
CUACGGGAGGCUCCAGUUAGGAAUAUUUUGCAAUGCGCGCAAGCGUGACAAAUUGAGCCAGAGUGUUUUUCAAAUGAAAGACUUUUGCCGAAUGUAAAAAGUUCGGCGAAUAAGGACUGGGUAAGACUAGUGCCAGCCGCCGCGGUAAUACUAGCGGUCCAAGUCGCAGCCAUUUUUAUUGGGUCUAAAACAUCCGUAGCUUGCUUAAUAAGUUUCUUGUGAAAUUUUAUAUCUCAAAUAUGAAAAGUGCAAGAAGUACUGUUGAGCUAGAGACUGGAAGACGUAAGAAGUAUGUUCGAAGUAGCGGUAAAAUGUGUUAAUCUCGGACAGACUAACAACAGCGAAGGCAUCUUACGAGGACAGUUCUGACAGUAAGGGAUGAAAGCUAGGGGCGCAAAACGGAUUAGAUACCCGAGUAGUC